rnacentral:rRNA from 1 species
GAUGAACGCUGGCGGCGUGCCUAAUACAUGCAAGUCGAGCGGACGGACGAGAAGCUUGCUUCUCUGAUGUUAGCGGCGGACGGGUGAGUAACACGUGGAUAACCUACCUAUAAGACUGGGAUAACUUCGGGAAACCGGAGCUAAUACCGGAUAAUAUUUUGAACCGCAUGGUUCAAAAGUGAAAGACGGUCUUGCUGUCACUUAUAGAUGGAUCCGCGCUGCAUUAGCUAGUUGGUAAGGUAACGGCUUACCAAGGCAACGAUGCAUAGCCGACCUGAGAGGGUGAUCGGCCACACUGGAACUGAGACACGGUCCAGACUCCUACGGGAGGCAGCAGUAGGGAAUAUUCCGCAAUGGGCGAAAGCCUGACGGAGCAACGCCGCGUGAGUGAUGAAGGUCUUCGGAUCGUAAAACUCUGUUAUUAGGGAAGAACAUAUGUGUAAGUAACUGUGCACAUCUUGACGGUACCUAAUCAGAAAGCCACGGCUAACUACGUG